rfam:Picea glauca, whole genome shotgun sequence.
AUGUACAUUCCUACAUUAUAUUGUUAAGGCAUUGGAUCCCAUUAAAACUUCGCAGUUAAGCACACUCGGGCUAGAGUAGUAUUGGGAUGGGUGAUCGUCCUAAAAGUCCUAUUGUUUUACAUC